CGUUCACUAUUGUUAUUUGUGUUUAAAAAAUUGGUUUUUAAUAUUAAAAUAUUUAUUGUAUUUUUUAUUUCUUUCGUUUUCCUCCUUUUCCCCUUUCUCUUCUUCUUCUUCUUUUUUUUCUUCUUCUUCUUCCCAACAAAUCUAGCAGCCACCGAUUCCACCACCGCUGGUGGCUUCCCCGAACACCAAACCCGUUGAUGGAUCUCCCAAGGCUUUCCUCAAAACACCCUUUUUUCCAUCAUCAAAGCCUUU
rnacentral:lncRNA from 1 species